rnacentral:rRNA from 1 species
UACGUAGGGUGCGAGCGUUAAUCGGAAUUACUGGGCGUAAAGCGUGCGCAGGCGGUAAGUUAAGUCUGAUGUGAAAGCCCCGGGCUCAACCUGGGAAUGGCAUUGGAAACUGGCUUGCUAGAGUGUGGCAGAGGGGGGUGGAAUUCCGCGUGUAGCAGUGAAAUGCGUAGAUAUCUGGAGGAAUACCGGUGGCGAAGGCGGCAUCCUGGACCAUUACUGACGCUGAGGCGCGAAAGCUAGGGGAGCAAACGGG